GUUUGGAUCAUUGCUCCUGGUAGUAAAUGUGGUGAUCUUGGCCGUCUACAUCCAACAAAAGUUCUUUAGUGGGGAUAAACUUGAAUCUCACUUGGCGAAGGAGAUCGACGCAUCAUAUGACUAUAUUAUAGUGGGGGCUGGGUCUGCUGGAUCUGUAUUAGCCAACCGUCUGUCUAAAGAUUCUAGUCUGAAAGUCCUGGUACUGGAAGCAGGAACCGACGAUCAACAACCGUCCGCUAACAUUUUAAAGGUUCCUAUGAUGUGUGGGUUGGCGCAGAAUACAGAAUACGAUUGGAAAUAUUAUUCGGUACCUCAAAAGAAUUGCUGCAAGGGUUUGCAGGGACAGAGAGUUUCUAUGUCGAGAGGUAAAGUUUUAGGUGGAUCUAGUCAAAUAAACUAUCACCUUUAUGUCCGAGGUCAUAGAAAGGAUUAUGAUGGCUGGUCUGAGGCUGGCUGCGAUGGUUGGAGCUAUUCUGAAGUCUUGCCAUACUUCAUAAGAUCAGAAAUUAUUCAACCAUUCAAACAUAUGGAUAAAGAGUACCAUGGUACACAUGGAUCGCUUGGCGUGACUGAAUCUCAAG